AUGCGGCGCUGCUUUCCGGACCUGGUGCUCUGCGAGCCGGCCACGCGGCGCUACCAGCUCAUCCCGCGCAUGGAGGAGGUGAAGCACGAGCGCUACUUCGGCGCCUUCCUCUAUGUAGACGGAGCCAUCAACGUGGGCUCGUGGGAGGAGAAGAGCUAUAACCAGUCCACGUUCCAGGUGGUCUGCCUACUCUACCAAAGGCACGACCGCGUGUGCGAGGAAAUUGGCAGGGCCAGGGUCUGCGUGUUCUACUACUACACUCAUUGUGGCAGAUUGGUCUUGAACCGUCCGCCGGGAUGGUACCUCAAGAAGGAGUACCAUGGACCGUCGUCUCUUAAUCUUCAUGGUCCAGAAUCUCUCUAUUUCUUGGGGCGCACGACACAUUUUCCGUAUUGGGGUAUCAAGCAUGAUGAUCGAGCCUUGCUGCUUUUUAAAGGAUAUACCAAAGUCUACAGUGUGCCCGACGUCGCUCGAGGGUCGGUCUUCCGUCUUGUUGAUCAUAGCAGUCAGUACGACAAGAUUCGUGUUGUUUGCUUGCAUGGCAGCACUCUACGGAUCUUUGUGGCGCUGUUUUAUAAUAUGGAGAACUCGGUGCUUGAAAAGAGCAUCCAGUUGACAUCCAGUUGA
rnacentral:rRNA from 1 species